rnacentral:tRNA from 1 species
GGGGUAUAGCUCAGUGGUAGAGUGCAUGCUUCACAUGCACGAGGUCCUGGGUUCAAUUCCCAGUACCACCA